rnacentral:rRNA from 1 species
GACGAACGCUGGCGGCGUGCUUAACACAUGCAAGUCGAACGGGAACCUUUAUUUCGGUAAAGGUGAGAGUGGCAAACGGGUGAGUAACACGUAGGCAACCUGCCGACAGGAUGGGGACAACAUUCCGAAAGGAAUGCUAAUACCGAAUGGAGUCCGAGGAUGGCAUCAUCCUUGGAUCAAAGAUGGCCUCUUAACAAUGCUAUCGCCUGUCGAUGGGCCUGCGUCUGAUUAGCCAGUUGGCGGGGUAACGGCCCACCAAAGCGACGAUCAGUAGCCGGUCUGAGAGGAUGAACGGCCACAUUGGGACUGAGACACGGCCCAGACUCCUACGGGAGGCAGCAGUGGGGAAUCUUCCACAAUGGGCGAAAGCCUGAUGGAGCAACGCCGCGUGAGUGAAGAAGGUCUUCGGAUCGUAAAGCUCUGUUGCACGGGACGAAAACUG